rnacentral:rRNA from 1 species
AGAGUUUGAUCAUGGCUCAGGAUGAACGCUAGCUACAGGCUUAACAUANGCAAGUCGAGGGAAACGACAUCGAAAGCUUGCUUUUGAUGGGCGUCGACCGGCGCACGGGUGAGUAACGCGUAUCCAACCUGCCCACCACUUGGGGAUAACCUUGCGAAAGUAAGACUAAUACCCAAUGAUAUCUCUAGAAGACAUCUGAAAGAGAUUAAAGAUUUAUCGGUGAUGGAUGGGGAUGCGUCUGAUUAGCUUGUUGGCGGGGUAACGGCCCACCAAGGCGACGAUCAGUAGGGGUUCUGAGAGGAAGGUCCCCCACAUUGGAACUGAGACACGGUCCAAACUCCUACGGGAGGCAGCA